AUUGAACGCUGGCGGCAUGCUUUACACAUGCAAGUCGAACGGCAGCGCGGGGCAACCUGGCGGCGAGUGGCGAACGGGUGAGUAAUAUAUCGGAACGUACCCGGAAGUGGGGGAUAACGUAGCGAAAGUUACGCUAAUACCGCAUACGAUCUACGGAUGAAAGUAGGGGACCGCAAGGCCUUAUGCUUUUGGAGCGGCCGAUAUCUGAUUAGCUAGUUGGUGAGGUAAAGGCUCACCAAGGCGACGAUCAGUAGCUGGUCUGAGAGGACGACCAGCCACACUGGAACUGAGACACGGUCCAGACUCCUACGGGAGGCAGCAGUGGGGAAUUUUGGACAAUGGGCGCAAGCCUGAUCCAGCAAUGCCGCGUGAGUGAAGAAGGCCUUCGGGUUGUAAAGCUCUUUUGUCAGGGAAGAAACGGUAGAGGCUAAUAUCCUUUGCUAAUGACGGUACCUGAAGAAUAAGCACCGGCUAACUACGUG
rnacentral:rRNA from 1 species